AUUGAACGCUGGCGGCACGCCUAACACAUGCAAGUCGAGCGGCAGCGAGAUUAGUAGCAAUACUAAUUGUCGGCGAGCGGCGGACGGGUGAGUAAUACGUAAGAAUCUGCCCUCAAGCGGGGGAUAACUAAUGGAAACGUUAGCUAAUACCGCAUAAUCUCGAGAGAGAAAAGGUGCCCGUAAGGGUGUCACUGGAGGAGGAGCUUGCGUCUGAGUAGCUAGUUGGUGGGGUAAGAGCCUACCAAGGCGAUGAUCAGUAACUGGUCUGAGAGGACGACCAGUCACACUGGGACUGAGACACGGCCCAGACUCCUACGGGAGGCAGCAGUGGGGAAUAUUGGACAAUGGGGGAAACCCUGAUCCAGCGAUGCCGCGUGAGUGAAGAAGGCCUUCGGGUCGUAAAGCUCUUUAGGUUGGGAAGAAGAAUGUAGGUUGAAUACACCUAUGUUUUGACGGUACCGACAGAAUAAGCACCGGCAAACUCUGUGCCAGCCGCCGCCGUAA
rnacentral:rRNA from 1 species